AGGCUUCACAUAUGCUAAGGCAUCACCCUCUAUCUCAUAAAAGAAUCUGAAAAUAGAAGAGAACCCUCUUUUAGUCCCGACCGUGGUGCAGAGUAUUCAGGCUUUUUCUUGUCUCAAGGGCAACCCCUCCGAUCCAUUCAUGGCAGGUAUUUCUCUGUGUGGGGUGGCCCACACUCAAGCAUGAAUGCAUGUUUUUCUCUCUCACUAUUGAAUAAAUCCUGAUCUUAUUCAUGCACAUUACGAUGCCACCACUUAGAAUUCUUAUCUCUGUGAGGAGCAAGAAUGUAGAGUGAAAAUUAAGGUACUCAGGCCCACAUCAGGAGGAACUAGUGAUAUAAUGGAAAUAACACGGGCUUUGGAAUCAGACAGACUGUGAUUCAAAUCCCUCUUUAGCAACAUACCCAGGUCUAUCACCUUUAGAAAAAGCAACUUCACAAAGGAAUUGUGAUUUAUUUAUCUGCAAAAUGACAACAUAAAGUCUCUCCAAGGAGAUAAGAGGCUCCUUGGCUACAAGUAGGGGUGGCUGAAGGAAGUAUCCUGCUCGCCUUGUGCUUUUUCCAGUUCCAGUCCCUAAUUGGAGGAGCAGUGUUGGGGAAUCCAGCGAGGAAGAUUUGAAAUGACAGAUGUCAAGUCCCUGUCACUAUGGCAACCACAGAUGGGCAUUUGAUAAAUGAUAGUCGUCACUGUUGACAGCUAUUAGGGAAACACCAUUUUUUUCAUGUCCCCAGCAUAUUUCAGUAAAUCAUAGAUCUCUGGUCUCCCUCUAGUAUCCCAAAAGAGCACCUUCUACAAUGCAAAGCUCACCCAUUAAGUGUCCAUUUCAAAUCCUCCAUAGCUCGACCCUUCCAGACAACUCUCUAUCUCUUGGCAUAGACUGUGGGCAAUGGCAUGUGACCGCCCUCCCCUCUCCCUGACCAGCAGUCCCCUCAUGAUCCUCUCUGUGCUCCUUUCGAAACCAGUUCCAUUGCCACAAUUUGCUUCCUCUUGAUUCCUGGUUAUGUUCAUUCUGUUUCCUUGCCCUGAUCUUUUCUAUCCAACCAUGUCUGCUUGUUCACAUGCGGCUGAGGAACAUGCUCCAGCCACAUGCAUGGCCCACUCAGCUACUUAAUAGAAUUCCCCAAGUAGAAUCCCCCUAUUGUUCCGCCCACUUUCCUAUUUGCCCCUCUCAGAUCCAGCUUCCAAACUCCAUCUGGGCUGAUUUUUGCAUAUGAAUCCCAUUGUGGUACCCCCUUUUUUAAAAUAUUGGGUGUCUCCUUAUGCAUUACAACUGAGUAAGAUCCAACCCUCCAAGCAUUAUUUGGCCUUAUUUGGCCCUUCAAACUCUCCCCCUUGCUCCCUGUGUUCCAGCCACACUGGCCAGUCUGCAGAUCUGUGAACCCAGGAUCUCUUCCUACUUCACAUGUACACGGGCCCUUCCUACAGAGAAUGCUGCCUGCCUGCUGCUCAGUCUCCCACACUCAGUUCAAGCGCCACUUUCUGGGAGACCUCUCCUAGUUGGCCAAACAAGAUCAUGGCCCUGUGAUUCUCUCUCAGGGUACCUGUUCUAUUCCUUCAUAAUGACAAGUGUAAUCUUGAAUUUCUUUGACUGAACAACACUUCAGCAUUGACCUCCACAUGCAAAACUGGCAUUUCCAGGUGUUAAACACAAUUAAGCCUGAUCGCAAGGAAAGGCAGGCGGGCCUGCUGGCGUGCGCUGAUGGUGGCCGCGAACGCUGCUGGAGGAACGAAGCAGGGAGGGCGGCUGGAGGAGGUCUGUGUACGUGGUCACUGGGAGAGCCGGUCGCACCCGAGAAUCCGUCUGACCAAGUUCUCAGAACACUCACGGUUAAUUGGCCACAACUCUCAGCACAACAUCUCUGAAAACCCCUGCUUAACAAAGCUAAGUGUGCUCCUCCCUGUGUAUUUUUUUUUUUUCCUACAAGCACAGCUUGUGUAUCUGAGGGCAGGGCGGACUUUCAGCUCCAGAACGCGGAGCCAUUAUUUUAUGAGACCACAGGCAGCGGUUGUUUUUGCAAAGAAUUUCAGCCUUGCUUUCCGUUCACUCACAGCAUGAAAACAAAUCAGUGUGCUUGGGCAUUUUAAAAAUUAAAGGCUUAGAUGGCACACGCUGAUCAAACACGGGUCUUCAGAUACCUAUUUCUAUAGGCUCCUACGUUUUGUAACUUUCAAUUUUCCUUUAUCUUAUAUUAACCUCACGUAGCAUGUGGCUAUAGCAGGCUGAAACACAUUACUGCCCUUCCAAACUAAAUAGGAUGCUAAUCCCUACUGACUUAGCAUAAAUGUAAAACAGAAAGAUGGGUUGGAGAGAAUUGAAGGUGAAAGUCGGGCCCUACUGAUGUCACUCUCAUACAUGUAAGUUUCAAUAACCCCAAAAUAAAUUAGAAUCAUCCCUGAUACCACUUUCCAAAGGAAGAUGCUGGAUGCCUCAUCAUUCUCACUAACUCAGGUAUUCAGAAGCUCUUGAUAAAAGAAAACUUGGAAUUUCUUGUCCUCUGACCAAUUGUCAGAUUUUCUACAUCAUCGAGCCCUGCACUGCCUACUGAUUUUAUAUGCAGAAUUGAAACAGCAGGUCUGUGCCCAGAUGGUCUUUCUUACUACCAGUGUUAGCACACCUGAGAUGGUGGACCUCAGGUCUAUGUUUUCAGGUCUGAACGCUCACCUGAGCUGUACACUCAUCUCUAAAUGCCCACUAAUUUCACCUUGAAUGUUCUACAGGCACCUUAAGCUCACCCUGUCUGAUCUCAAGUCUUGGCCACUCUGGCUCUAUCUCCAAACCCCUCCCUUCUUCCCUCAUAUAAGGAUUCCAGUUAAUGGAAAAACUCUCCCACAAUAUUUCCUAACCCCAAAUAUCAUGUAUCCUCACCCUAUGUAUAAUUAAUCAUGAAGUCCUAUUAGAUCUGCUACCUGAUUGUGGUGUCCCUUUUCUCCACUCACACUGAUACUUCAGCCUUUCCGCUUCCACUGUUGAACUAAUCCUGAACGUGCCCACCUUUCUCCAUGCUCUCCCUUUCUUCCUUCACAUUCAAAAAUAUGAACCUGGUCAUGUCCAUGACAUCAAAAUCAUGGUACAUAAAAGUAAAAUCAAUAAAGUUGAUUUAUCAAAAUUAAUAACUUUGCUCUGCAAAAACCUCCAUUAAAGACAAACUAUAGAUUAUAAGAAAGCACACACAAACCACAUCUGACAAAUGACUUAUACCUGAAAUAGAAAAAGUACUCUUAAAUUUUAACAUUAGGAAAAGCAAUCCCACUUAAAAAUGACCAAAAGACAUGCACAGAUAUGGCAAAGAAUAUAUACAGAUAGCAAAUAAGCACAUGAGAGGAUGUUCAACAUGGUGAACCAUAAGGCAAAUGCAAAUUAAAACCACACUGAGCUAUAAAUGCACCUAACAGAAUGGCUAAAAUUGUGGUAGUACCAGCAUCAGGGAUGGAUGUAGAGAAACUGAAUCACUGGUGAGAAUAUAAAAUGGUAGAGUCACUCUGGAAAGUAGUUUGGCACUUCCUUUGAAAACUAAAAUAAUCUAACCAUGCAGUCCAGCAAUAGCACUCUUGGGCAUACAACCCAGAGAAAUGAAAACUUACUUUCUUUUUUAAGAUUUAUUUAUUUGAAAGGCAGAGUUACAGAGAGGGAGAGACAGAGAGAAGUUUUCCAUCUGCUGGUGCACUCCCCAAAUGCCUGCAAUGGCAGGAGUUGGGCCAGGUGGAAGACAAAGAGCCAAAAGCUUCUCCUGGGUCCCUCCCAAUGUGUGCAGAGACCUAAGUACAUGGGCCACCUUCCCAUGCUUACCCUGGUGCAUUAGCAGGGAGCUGGAUCAGAAGUGGAGCAGCCAAGAAACAAACUGGCAUCCAAAUGAGAUGCUGGCUUCACUGGCAGUGACUUAAACCUCCAUGCCACAAUGCCGACCUCAGAAACUUAUUUUCACACAAGCAAUUGGUACAUGAAUAUCACAAUAGCUUUAGUUUUAAUGGACAAAAAUUACCCAAAAACCCUUCAAUAAGUGAAUUGUUAAACUCCAGAGCAUACUUCCCAUGAAAUACUACUAAGCAAUAAAAGGAAUGAACUACUGAUAUACUUAGCUUCAAUGAACCUUAAGGAAAUUAUGCUGAGUGGAAGAAAAGCCAAUGGCAAAAGGAUACAUACUGCAUGAUUCUGUUAAGGUAACAUUUAUGAAUUUAGAAUAAUAACAAUGAUGAUCAGAUUAGUAGUUGAAAUGGUUCAGGGGUGGAGGAAGGAAAUGAACAUAGUUAUAAAAGGGAAACAGGAGGGAGUCUUGUUUUAAUGGUAAAAUAAAGUAGCUUAAUUAAAGUGGUAGUUAUACAAUACUACAAAUUGCAUAGAAAUAUAUAACCUGCUCUACACACACACACACACACAGAGUACAAGCAUUAACCAGUGAAAUCUAUAUAACCCAAGUGGAUUACAUCAACAUCAAUUUUCUGGUUUUGUUGUUACACUACAAUAAUGCAAGACAUUCACAUUGACAGAAGGUAGGUAAAGGAUGCAUGGGACCUCCCUAUACAUUAUUUUUUACAUCUUCCUGUAAAUCUACAACUAUUGCAAUGUAACUGUUUCAAAAAUCUGAUCAUGUCACUCUUUUGUUGAAGCUAUUUGUAGCUCUCAUUAUUUAUAGAAUAAAACACAUUCAUGUAUGCAUAACAUAUAGGGUCCUCCAUUCCAACUGUCAUUUCCUAUUAAGUGAUCUCAUAACUACAACUUUGCUGUCUUUCCAUCUCAUUGUUGAGUAUGAUAAAUGUCUACCAUUUUAGAUGACAUUUGCCUUGACUUCUGGGAUUACAGAAAGCAUAUGUGUGCAACCUGAAAUUCGCCAAAUUUGCUAGAGUUAGACAUUCUAAGCAUAUUCCACAGUCAUUUAGUAAAUCUUUGCAUACUCAACCAAAUUAAUCUCUCAAGAAGACAUCCAAUCUGGGAAUGAUAAGGGUAGUUUUCAGUAAGGAAAGAAAAUGGGCCCAAAUGAUGAGAGCACAUAAAGCAGUGAAAGCGGUGAAAGGCAUCCAUAGACUGGAAAAUCCCCCUUCACUUCCUAAGCCCAGGGUGUUAAUUUCCUAGGGCUGCACUAACAAAGGGACACAAACUGGGCAGCUUAAACAAGAGAAGUUUACCACAGACCUGGAGGCCAGAAGGGAGAUCAGGUGUCAGCAGGCUUGGUUCUCUCUGGGGUUAGGAGACAGAAUGUGUUCCAUGCCUCUCCCCCAGAGAAAAGAUUACUGGCAGCCUUUGGUGUUCCUUGCCUCAUGAAAGCAUCACCCACACUAUCUCUGCCUUCUUCUUCAUGUGAUAUUUUCCCCAUGAGUGAGUCUCUGUCCAAAUUUCAGCUUUCCACUUUUAUAAGGACACCACUCCCAGUGGAUUAGAGGCCCACCUUUCCAAGACCUCAUCUUAACCAGAAACAUCUGCAAUAACCUUAUUCCAAACAAAGUCACAGUCUGAGGUACUGAAGGCUAAGAUGCAAAUUUGUAAGUUUUGGCUGUAUUUAAUGUAAUUCAGUCAGUAACACCCAGGGUGCACAAGGAUCCCCCCAAAAAAAGCUUU